UACGUAGGGGGCAAGCGUUGUCCGGAAUCAUUGGGCGUAAAGAGCGUGUAGGCGGCCUGAUAAGUCGGUUGUGAAAGUCAAGGGCUCAACCCUUGAAUGCCGGCCGAUACUGUCAGGCUAGAGUCCGGAAGAGGCGAGUGGAAUUCCUGGUGUAGCGGUGAAAUGCGCAGAUAUCAGGAAGAACACCUAUGGCGAAAGCAGCUCUCUGGGACGGUACUGACGCUGAGACGCGAAAGCGUGGGGAGCGAACAGG
rnacentral:rRNA from 1 species